UUGAACGCUGGCGGCAGGCCUAACACAUGCAAGUCGAGCGGAUGAAGGGAGCUUGCUCCUGGAUUCAGCGGCGGACGGGUGAGUAAUGCCUAGGAAUCUGCCUGGUAGUGGGGGAUAACGUCCGGAAACGGGCGCUAAUACCGCAUACAUCCUGAGGGAGAAAGUGGGGGAUCUUCGGACCUCACGCUAUCAGAUGAGCCUAGGUCGGAUUAGCUAGUUGGUGGGGUAAAGGCCUACCAAGGCGACGAUCCGUAACUGGUCUGAGAGGAUGAUCAGUCACACUGGAACUGAGACACGGUCCAGACUCCUACGGGAGGCAGCAGUGGGGAAUAUUGGACAAUGGGCGAAAGCCUGAUCCAGCCAUGCCGCGUGUGUGAAGAAGGUCUUCGGAUUGUAAAGCACUUUAAGUUGGGAGGAGGGGCAGUAAGUUAAUACCUUGCUGUUUUGACGUUACCAACAGAAUAAGCACCGUCUAACUUCGUG
rnacentral:rRNA from 1 species